rnacentral:rRNA from 1 species
UACAGAGGUAGCAAGCGUUGUUCGGAAUGACUGGGUGUAAAGCGCGUGUAGGCGGUUUUAUAAGUUGAAUGUGAAAUCUCCCGGCUUAACCGGGAAACGGCAUUCAAAACUGUAUAACUUGAGUGCGGAAGAGGAAAGUGGAAUUUCGGGUGUAGCGGUGAAAUGCGUAGAUAUCCGAAGGAACACCGGUGGCGAAGGCGACUUUCUGGUCCGCAACUGACGCUGAGACGCGAAAGCUAGGGGAGCAAACAGG